UUAAGCGACUAAGCGUACACGGUGGAUGCCCUGGCAGUCAGAGGCGAUGAAGGACGUGCUAAUCUGCGAUAAGCGUCGGUAAGGUGAUAUGAACCGUUAUAACCGGCGAUUUCCGAAUGGGGAAACCCAGUGUGUUUCGACACACUAUCAUUAACUGAAUCCAUAGGUUAAUGAGGCGAACCGGGGGAACUGAAACAUCUAAGUACCCCGAGGAAAAGAAAUCAACCGAGAUUCCCCCAGUAGCGGCGAGCGAACGGGGAGCAGCCCAGAGCCUGAAUCAGUGUGUGUGUUAGUGGAAGCGUCUGGAAAGGCGCGCGAUACAGGGUGACAGCCCCGUACACAAAAAUGCACAUGCUGUGAGCUCGAUGAGUAGGGCGGGACACGUGGUAUCCUGUCUGAAUAUGGGGGGACCAUCCUCCAAGGCUAAAUACUCCUGACUGACCGAUAGUGAACCAGUACCGUGAGGGAAAGGCGAAAAGAACCCCGGCGAGGGGAGUGAAAAAGAACCUGAAACCGUGUACGUACAAGCAGUGGGAGCACGCUUAGGCGUGUGACUGCGUACCUUUUGUAUAAUGGGUCAGCGACUUAUAUUCUGUAGCAAGGUUAACCGAAUAGGGGAGCCGAAGGGAAACCGAGUCUUAACUGGGCGUUAAGUUGCAGGGUAUAGACCCGAAACCCGGUGAUCUAGCCAUGGGCAGGUUGAAGGUUGGGUAACACUAACUGGAGGACCGAACCGACUAAUGUUGAAAAAUUAGCGGAUGACUUGUGGCUGGGGGUGAAAGGCCAAUCAAACCGGGAGAUAGCUGGUUCUCCCCGAAAGCUAUUUAGGUAGCGCCUCGUGAAUUCAUCUCCGGGGGUAGAGCACUGUUUCGGCAAGGGGGUCAUCCCGACUUACCAACCCGAUGCAAACUGCGAAUACCGGAGAAUGUUAUCACGGGAGACACACGGCGGGUGCUAACGUCCGUCGUGAAGAGGGAAACAACCCAGACCGCCAGCUAAGGUCCCAAAGUCAUGGUUAAGUGGGAAACGAUGUGGGAAGGCCCAGACAGCCAGGAUGUUGGCUUAGAAGCAGCCAUCAUUUAAAGAAAGCGUAAUAGCUCACUGGUCGAGUCGGCCUGCGCGGAAGAUGUAACGGGGCUAAACCAUGCACCGAAGCUGCGGCAGCGACGCUUAUGCGUUGUUGGGUAGGGGAGCGUUCUGUAAGCCUGUGAAGGUGUGCUGUGAGGCAUGCUGGAGGUAUCAGAAGUGCGAAUGCUGACAUAAGUAACGAUAAAGCGGGUGAAAAGCCCGCUCGCCGGAAGACCAAGGGUUCCUGUCCAACGUUAAUCGGGGCAGGGUGAGUCGACCCCUAAGGCGAGGCCGAAAGGCGUAGUCGAUGGGAAACAGGUUAAUAUUCCUGUACUUGGUGUUACUGCGAAGGGGGGACGGAGAAGGCUAUGUUGGCCGGGCGACGGUUGUCCCGGUUUAAGCGUGUAGGCUGGUUUUCCAGGCAAAUCCGGAAAAUCAAGGCUGAGGCGUGAUGACGAGGCACUACGGUGCUGAAGCGACAAAUGCCCUGCUUCCAGGAAAAGCCUCUAAGCAUCAGGUAACAUCAAAUCGUACCCCAAACCGACACAGGUGGUCAGGUAGAGAAUACCAAGGCGCUUGAGAGAACUCGGGUGAAGGAACUAGGCAAAAUGGUGCCGUAACUUCGGGAGAAGGCACGCUGAUAUGUAGGUGAAGUCCCUCGCGGAUGGAGCUGAAAUCAGUCGAAGAUACCAGCUGGCUGCAACUGUUUAUUAAAAACACAGCACUGUGCAAACACGAAAGUGGACGUAUACGGUGUGACGCCUGCCCGGUGCCGGAAGGUUAAUUGAUGGGGUCAGCGCAAGCGAAGCUCUUGAUCGAAGCCCCGGUAAACGGCGGCCGUAACUAUAACGGUCCUAAGGUAGCGAAAUUCCUUGUCGGGUAAGUUCCGACCUGCACGAAUGGCGUAAUGAUGGCCAGGCUGUCUCCACCCGAGACUCAGUGAAAUUGAACUCGCUGUGAAGAUGCAGUGUACCCGCGGCAAGACGGAAAGACCCCGUGAACCUUUACUAUAGCUUGACACUGAACAUUGAGCCUUGAUGUGUAGGAUAGGUGGGAGGCUUAGAAGUGUGGACGCCAGUCUGCAUGGAGCCGACCUUGAAAUACCACCCUUUAAUGUUUGAUGUUCUAACGUUGACCCGUAAUCCGGGUUGCGGACAGUGUCUGGUGGGUAGUUUGACUGGGGCGGUCUCCUCCUAAAGAGUAACGGAGGAGCACGAAGGUUGGCUAAUCCUGGUCGGACAUCAGGAGGUUAGUGCAAUGGCAUAAGCCAGCUUGACUGCGAGCGUGACGGCGCGAGCAGGUGCGAAAGCAGGUCAUAGUGAUCCGGUGGUUCUGAAUGGAAGGGCCAUCGCUCAACGGAUAAAAGGUACUCCGGGGAUAACAGGCUGAUACCGCCCAAGAGUUCAUAUCGACGGCGGUGUUUGGCACCUCGAUGUCGGCUCAUCACAUCCUGGGGCUGAAGUAGGUCCCAAGGGUAUGGCUGUUCGCCAUUUAAAGUGGUACGCGAGCUGGGUUUAGAACGUCGUGAGACAGUUCGGUCCCUAUCUGCCGUGGGCGCUGGAGAACUGAGGGGGGCUGCUCCUAGUACGAGAGGACCGGAGUGGACGCAUCACUGGUGUUCGGGUUGUCAUGCCAAUGGCACUGCCCGGUAGCUAAAUGCGGAAGAGAUAAGUGCUGAAAGCAUCUAAGCACGAAACUUGCCCCGAGAUGAGUUCUCCCUGACCCUUUAAGGGUCCUGAAGGAACGUUGAAGACGACGACGUUGAUAGGCCGGGUGUGUAAGCGCAGCGAUGCGUUGAGCUAACCGGUACUAAUGAACCGUGAGGCUUAACCUU
rnacentral:rRNA from 1 species